rnacentral:rRNA from 1 species
UACGUAGGUGGCGAGCGUUAUCCGGAUUUAUUGGGUGUAAAGGGAGCGUAGGCGGAUUCUUAAGUGGGAUGUGAAAUACUUGGGCUCAACCCGGGUACUGCAUUCCAAACUGAGUAUCUAGAGUGUAGGAGAGGUGAGUGGAAUUCCUGGUGUAGCGGUGAAAUGCGUAGAGAUUAGGAAGAACACCAGUUGCGAAGGCGACUCUCUGGAUUGUAACUGACGCUGAGGCUCGAAAGUGUGGGGAUCGAACAGG